rnacentral:lncRNA from 1 species
AAAUUUUGUCUCAGAUGCCAUAGCCUAGCCGGGGUGAGGUACCCAGGACAUCUUGAAAUAGCCCUUAAAGAAGCAACAGAGGAUGCGUUGAUGGCUUAGACCACUUUUCUUAACUCACGUCUUUAGUCCAAAGUUUGCAGAGGGCCAGCUGAACCUGGAAAACGCGCGGGUUGAGGGGUGGUCCCUGUCGGUGAGCGCGCCCACAGGGAUCGUGGAGGGUUGGACAGCCAGGGUUCGUUUUAGUGAGAGGGUGGGAAAGAAGGAAACGAGGAAAAGGCAAGUGGCAACAGCUCAAGUCAAAAUCAAAGAAUCAAAUCCUGUGCUUCAAAUUAAAUACGUCCAUGGUACAGAGCGUCUGCUUGAGAGGCUUACAUGGGGUCCAGAGUUUCCUUGUGUGCAUCUCAGAGUCGGAAGGGUUGUAGUCUACAGGAUCUUCACACAUCGAAUCUGAACAGAAACCAACUUUAAACUGAUCAUCACACGUGAGCAUCCUUACCUCGGAGCAGACGGUGAUAAGAUUUGAUGGAGAACACCUGCUUUUCUUGGUCAUCUGCUAGAGAAAAAUCUGUUUCCUCUUGCCGUUGGAUUUGCAGCUCAUCAGAAGGGGCUGUCAGAUUUCUCCUUCUUCCCCCAACCAAGAUGUGGGAGAGUGACGCGUCUGCACGAAGAAAAGGACAACGUGGAGACCUGGGAAAGUGGGACCAUAGCACGCACUAUGGAUCGACAGAGAUUUGAGCUGGAAAACUAUUGGCCUAUAGCAAGGAUGCUAAAAG